CGUAGGCAGCGAGCGUUGUUCGGAGUUACUGGGCGUAAAGAGUGCGUAGGCGGUUUUCUAAGUUUGGUGUGAAAUCUCCCGGCUUAACUGGGAGGGUGCGCCGAAGACUGGAAGGCUAGAGUAUGGGAGAGGUAAGCGGAAUUCCUGGUGUAGCGGUGAAAUGCGUAGAUAUCAGGAGGAACACCUGCGGUGUAGACGGCUUACUGGACCAUAACUGACGCUGAGGCACGAAAGCGUGGGUAGCAAACAGGAUUAGAUACCCUGGUAGUCCACGCCCUAAACGAUGCAUACUUGGUGUGGGUAGUUCAUUCUAUCCGUGCCGGAGCUAACGCGUUAAGUAUGCCGCCUGGGGAGUACGGUCGCAAGGCUG
rnacentral:rRNA from 1 species